rnacentral:rRNA from 1 species
UACGGAGGGUGCAAGCGUUGUCCGGAAUCACUGGGCGUAAAGGGCGCGUAGGCGGCUCAUGAAGGCUGUGGUGAAAGUCCGGGGCUCAACCUCGGAUCGGCCGUGGCGACUCGUGGGCUGGAGCACUGUAGAGGCGGGUGGAAUUCCGGGUGUAGCGGUGGAAUGCGUAGAGAUCCGGAAGAACACCGGUGGCGAAGGCGGCCCGCUGGGAUACUUGCUGACGCUGAGGCGCGACAGCGUGGGGGAGCAAACAGG